UACGUAGGGGGCAAGCGUUGUCCGGAUUUAUUGGGCGUAAAGAGCGUGUAGGCGGUCAGGUAGGUCCGUUGUGAAAACUCGAGGCUCAACCUCGAGACGUCGGCGGAAACCAUCUGGCUAGAGUCCGGAAGAGGAGAGUGGAAUUCCUGGUGUAGCGGUGAAAUGCGCAGAUAUCAGGAAGAACACCCGUGGCGAAGGCGGCUCUCUGGGACGGUACUGACGCUGAGGAGCGAAAGCGUGGGGAGCAAACAGG
rnacentral:rRNA from 1 species